rnacentral:lncRNA from 1 species
AUUAUGUGUUCAUGACGCGGGGUGUGCGGUUUAUGAGGAUUCUGCAGUUCAACAACUCAUUGAGAUAUAGCUCUCCUCCAUGUUCAAGGCACCUGAUGACCUCUCUGCUAACACGGGCCACAAGGACCAGGAAGUCUUGAGUUAAUGCUGGCAACAAGGCUAUAGCAAGGGAAGAUGAUUGCAUGAGUGAAGCAUUCACCUUCCCAACACUUCAGAGAUGUCUAAUGGAGCAUCUGAGCACCUGAGAUCCAUCAACUGCUGAGACCACUCCCCAGAUCACAGUGUCAAUAAAGACUUCUGUAGAACAAAUCCACAAUGGGGCUGCAAGUCUGUAAUCAAGGGAUAAAUGGAAACAGGUGGAAGGAGCCAGAAGCAGAUUGAAAAUCAGGUGCGGAAGCCAAGAAACAUCCUGGAUCUAGACUGUUUCAAGGUGGUUCAGCUCAGUAAUUUUCUCAUUUCCCCUCUUGAUUUGCUAAAAGUAGGUUUUGUUGAUUCAACCUAAGCAGUUUUGUAGGCUUAUGUCAUGCUGAAUGGACCUGACCAGAGAACAUUUAAGAUUUCCUCCUGAGUGAAAGAUUGAAAACAAUCUGUUUUGCUUUUCUGCUAUGGUUUUUAUCUUUCUUUUACUCCUCAAUCAUGUACUAGUUUCACUAGCUCUCCAGCCAGGUUCCUGCUUCUGAGGCACUUAAAUGUAAUUUAUUACAAGCCUUUUUGCUUUUAAUAACUUGCUUUUCAGAAUAUUUUGUGGCUGUUUUUAUUCCAUUUCCAAAUUGACUUGUCAGAGCUGAUACUAUUUAUAUUUUUAUAUAUAUGUUGCUUAUAUUAAUUUUUUGAAUUAUAUCUUUUUAACUGCCUCCUUUACAACUUCACUUUUUAAUUGUGAAAAAAUACUUUUAAAACACCAUUUUUUAAUGGGAAGAGGAGGGUAGGUUUUGGUAUUCGUAGCAUUAGUGUCUCCACAAACUUGGAAAUAGGGAUUCUGCUAUCUCUUUCUCUUCUUGCUAGCUCAAACCUCUAUUAAGUCUGUAGUUCACUUAGUUUUAGGACUCUCUCACUCUCUCAUGUUGCUUGACCUGAAAACAUACAGUUAACUAAUCACCAGAUGCAGUCCACAAGGGAAAAAAGAAACCUAAAGAGUCAAGUGAAAAUAAAGCUGCACUAAAUUAGGUCUCUCUAACAAGUUGCCUGGAUAAGAAAGGAGAUAAAUUUAACAGCUGAUGUGUAGACUAUUAAUAAUUUUGUGAUUAAUUUCAGAACAGGAGAAAUUUUUAAAGUACUACUUCUUUCAAAAACAGAGCAUGAAAAAAGUUCAAAUAAUAAUGCAAAAAUGUAACUGGAUAUUCAUUAGUCAGUUCAGGAUAAAAAAAACUUGACAUAUCUUCUGGUUUUCUCCAAUAAACCUGACUAUACCUGUCUUUUGAGUAGUUUACUAGCAUACACUGACAACUAGGUUAUAAUUAAUUGCAUGACAUGGUUUAUCUGGAAUCUCAGAUUUUUGCCAUACACAUUUGCCAGUCCUAUCAAUCAUUUCCAACAUGAAAGACACAUUGUUUAACUCCUGCCCACCUGCACAGAUUUUCAUAUUACUAAUUUGAAUUGUAUACAGUGUAUGAGCUUACCCUAAGAACUGUGCAAUGCAAUAUAUUGCUUCCUCUUGGCAGCAUUUAUAGCUGUAAGAGAGAAACCAGUGUAAUUUUUGCAAACUGACAUAAUAUCUGUUUAGGAUCUCUCAUUAGCACAUGUUGAACCCAUUUGUGCUAUCACAUGCUUUUAAACUAGAUACCAUGAGCUGUGGAGAAAUAUUGGCUAAUGUAGCAUGUGAAGGUAUAAUACGCCUUCAUGCAGCCUCUCUUCCAGCAGUGUUGGGCUAGAGAGAAAUGCCUAAGAAAUUCCAGGCUGUUAAGCAGAUUUCAGACUUGCUUUGUGAAAAUCCCCGCCAUGAAUAAACCAUGCACUGAAUAAACUGUGAGUAAAAAUAGCUUUGUUACGCUUUCAAGUUUCAGGCAUAUCUUACCAAAAUAUGUGAAGCUAAGGCAAAACGGCUCUCCAAUUUUAGGGAGAUGUCCCACUGCUGACCAAGUAGCAGUGGCAGAAGUAGUGUUGUCUCACAGACUGCGUUUCUAUCACUGUAUUAUCCACCAUUACUCAGAGCAGAUGCUGUCUGAUUUAUGCCAAAAUGCACUAUACUCAAGCCAGUGACAUCCAUGUGAAACAGUUUAACCCACAGUUAAACUAGCAUACUAUGUGGUCCCGGUUUUCUUGUGCUUUCAAGACUGUCAUUGCAUACAAGAGUAAAAUAUUAGGUAAUGUUGCUUCGACAACAACAACAACAACUGUAAUUAAAAUGUUAACAUAAUGACAAUCCACAAAAAACAAAUUAUGGAGGGGAUGAAGGGGAAGUACAGGUCCAAAAACUGCUGUGGGAUUAACACCAGCGAUGCUCACAGCGUUAAUACAUAGAGUAGCCUUUGCACAGUUAGUAUGUACUGAUUGAUAUUAACGCCAAUUAAUUGACAGGAAUUUACUGCUUCUGGUUAAACUUGAGCAAGGCCUAGAGAAUCUGAUUUCUUUUUGUUUAGAAAAUAAUUUUGCCCAACAAACAAAUGAGCAAUAUGUAACACAACUGCUUAAAAUAAGCCAUUUGAGGGUUCAUCCAAAGCCCUUUGAAGUCAAUAAGAUUUUGCCAUUGACAUAAAUCGCUUUUGAAUUAGAUCUUCUAAGGGAUAGAUAUAAUAAAAGCUGAUGACAGAGAAGAAGGUUAAAACUAAAAGGCAGGUAAAAGAUGAAAGGAGAAAAAUUGCCACACUCAUCCAGCUUCAUACCACUUGCAGUGAAUCCAUCAGGAUAUUUAGCCAUUUAAACUAUAUAAGAGUUUCUCUUUAUCAUGAUCUGUUAAAUGAUAGGGAGAAUACACAAACAGUGUCCCAGAUUUUCAAUGAACGUAGGUUCCCAAAUCAGGCUGUGUGAUGUUCAAAAGUGUGAUUACAGAGGCUGCCACUGAUUUUGGAGACAGUUAAGGCUUCACUGAAACACAUAUGAGAUGUUUAGUGUCUUUCAUGGAUUGGUCUUUUCUUGAUAAUCUCAGUUUAGGCAAAAAAUGAAAUGCCAAAGAUCAAUAAUAUAUCACAACUGAAAAGACAAUUCAAAUGCCAUUUCAAAUACUGUUCUAUCUUUUUGGCUAGAUUGUUUCUUCUUGAAAGAUCCUCCUUCCAAAUACUAUCCUUUAAACAUAUUUUGGUUGGGUUUUUUUAGCAGAAACACUUUCUAAUCUAUUUCCACCCCUCUGUAGCAUCCAUUCUUCAGCCCUGCAUUUUAAGUAUGCAUUUUGGAACAACCUGAAGUUUAAGCAAACAGAAAAUAAUUUUUUUCAAUCAUCAUAGCUGUCAUUCUAAAAUAUUAAUACUCAUUUAUGGAAAUACAUACUGGUGGAAGGCACCUCAUUAAUAUUAAGACAAUCUUUGUCAAGGUAAUUUUGAGGCAUUACUUUUUGAGCUACAUAAUUAUAACAGUAUGCAGAGUCACACCCUGUGAAUCUUGCCUAUAUUUUCCUGAGAUACAUACAUAGGGAAGAUAUAUGACCCCUUCCAGCUUUAGGCGAGGUCAAACACUAGCUCUGCAUGCACCUUUGAAUUUAUACUAAAAAAUCCCACAUGGUUAGUGUUAAUAUGGUCAAAUACAUGCAGAUAAUUUUGAAUAUCUGAUUCAUUUAAAUGUUCUUAAUUUUCAUAUUUGUAUCAACUGCAAACUUUAUAUUCAGUUCCUAAAGAACGCUCUUCUUUUUCCUUUUUUAAGCAAUAUGCCUUAAAGUCUUUUCUACUGAACCCACAGUAUUUAGCAGUUUCAUCUUUCCCCAGAUUUUUCUAAUAGCUCUUUCACAAUUUUCGGAUUUUAGUCUAAAUAACACAGUACACCCUGAUGUGUAUAGUAUGCUAAAAUUUGAGCAAUCUCAUGUCAGGUUUAUUCUGAAAUGUUACAAUAUAGGUUUAUUCAUGAUUUAUUAUUUCAAAGCUGCAAAAAAUUGGCAUUAAGUAGAACUAGGAUUACGACUGUUUUAUAUAGUCCACUGUGAACACAUGUACCUGAAAUAAAUGAAAUAAAUAACAAAAUUUUUCACCAAAGCAGAGUGAAGUACUGGUGAAUAUUUAGAGAGCAGAAGCAUUGACUUAUUUAGGGCUGUGUGCUGGGGAACUAGGCAGGUUUGCCAUCCCUACAGGCUUAGAUGCAAAGAAAGCGUAUGAAAGCAUAGUAUUGAAGUAUUUCAUAUUUUGAAAAAUAUAUUUUUAUCUAGUGUAUACUAACAAUCAAGGCAUUCUAAAACAAAAGGAAGAGGUAUAGUUCAAUCAAGCCCUUAUUUUCAUGGAUCAAGUUCCAGAUGAAUUAGCUUAUGUUCACUAAAAUUAUCUGUGUGGGUCAAACGUGAUAAAUUUGGCACGAGUGUGGGACCAUCACUUUUGCUUGUACAAUAAACACAGAGCCUCCAUGCCUACAUGUUUUGUAGUUAGACUUAAUUGAUUUAAAAAGGGAACUCUCACAGGUAGGGAGGAACAUAUAUUAAUGAGACUAAAUACUCUGCUAAUGAAGAAUCCUGGGCAGUUUUCCAAGGAUUUAAUGAACAUUCUGGAAGAUUUUGCUCCUCUCUAAAGGUGCAAAAGCAAGUAGGCCAAUUUUCUUUUUUUUUUUCACUCUGGGUUUUGCUUAAUUUUAAAGGACUUUCAACUUGAAUGAUGAAACUGGUUAAAUAGGUAAGAUUUUUUUUAAUUUCUUGUAAUUUUUCCCUGGAUUCAGUUAUCAAAGCUAUAAGUUACAAUGCAUAAUUUCCAAAUGCUAAACAUUCUAAUAGAAGUUAAUGCUGAUAAAUAAAAAAAUAUUGUAUUGAUUCAUUAAAAAUUAAUAAACAGGAUUUGUCAUUGUAUUUCUAUAAC